GAGGGUACCAUGAUAGAGUAACUUGGUGCUCCAUCAUGGCGAGGAUUAUUUAGAGCAGACUUUGAAAGAGCUGUGUCAUGAGGCUUGGCCAGUCUCAAGGAUCCAACACUGCUACUUAAGUUUCCAGAUGACAAAGUCUCAGGUGUCAGAGAGCCAUUCCCCAGCACUUCUGCAUGCAACACGCCCUUUGGCAUGGACCUGGAAAAUCUCUUCAUAAAGACUCGGACAAGACAGUCCUUCAAGCUGCUCCUAGAGCAUGGGGCUGACAAAAGAAGGCAUGCCAAGAGAGGAAGAACAAGGCAGAUGCUUCUGGUGGCUGUGACCAACCACGAUCACAUACAUUUGAUGCCAUCCUUUGGGAAUCCAUAGAAAUUCCGAGGGAGGUAUUGCAAGUGAACAAGAGUUCCACAGACCCAGAUAGGAGCAAGGAUGGGAACUUUAAUUAUCAAUGUCAGUCCGACUUCAUCGAACCCAGAUGCUGGCAAGGCCUGCCGACAUUUGAACUCUAAGCCUGCAACUCUGUACCACUUCUCUGAUCACACUGUGAACAACUCGAGGGUGGGAAUGCAUCUAUCUUUGAAUGCACACAGCCUAGAGCUAGGGCCAUGCAACAAAUGUAGUGUUGGAUGAAUAAAUGAAUGAAUCUACAAAUUGUCGUGAGUAAUAAUGCAUCAAACACAACACGAUGGUCAGAUUGCAUUGCAAUGGUCAUGGCUGGAUCUUGCACAACACAACAUUUUUGAGCAUCUUGCAGAAUCCUAGAUACCCAGCAGAUCUAAAAGAACUGGCUGCUCCUUAACUGCUUAAAAAACCUCCGAUGGCUUCAGCAUUGACACUCCAGAGGACAGCUCCCUCCAGAAGAUUCUGGCACCCUCCAGAAGGGAUUCUAGAGGAUACGUCACCUUCACUCCCACUCAUGCCACACCCUCCAGAGCGGCCCUCCCAGACCCGGAAGAAUGCCCAGAUAAACAGGAGAAGAGCCUCCACUUGGUCAUAUUUCCCUAAUGGAGAAAUCAGAGGGACUGAAGUCACUGCUUCCAAGGAAUUUCAGGAAUUUUCAAAAACAUCAGCAAGACCAAUCAG
rnacentral:lncRNA from 1 species